rnacentral:rRNA from 1 species
CUUGACCUCAAAUCAGGUAGGA